CCUACGGGAGGCUGCAGUGAGGAAUAUUGGUCAAUGGACGAGAGUCUGAACCAGCCAAGUAGCGUGAAGGAUGACUGCCCUAUGGGUUGUAAACUUCUUUUAUAUGGGAAUAAAAUGUUCCACGUGUGGGAUUUUGUAUGUACCAUAUGAAUAAGGAUCGGCUAACUCCGUGCCAGCAGCCGCGGUAAUACGGAGGAUCCGAGCGUUAUCCGGAUUUAUUGGGUUUAAAGGGAGCGUAGGUGGAUUGUUAAGUCAGUUGUGAAAGUUUGCGGCUCAACCGGAAAAUUGCAGUUGAAACUGGCAGUCUUGAGUACAGUAGAGGUGGGCGGAAGUCGUGGUGUAGCGGUGAAAUGCUUAGAUAUCACGAAGAACUCCGAUUGCGAAGGCAGUUCACUGGACUGCAACUGACACUGAGGCUCGAAAGUGUGGGUAUCAAACAGGAUUAGAUACCCGAGUAGUC
rnacentral:rRNA from 1 species